rnacentral:tRNA from 1 species
UCCAGGGUAGCCUAGUGGACAUGGCAUCUGCCCGGUAAGAGGAAGGUUGUGGGUUCGAUUCCCGCCCCUGGAC